rnacentral:rRNA from 1 species
UAGAGGAAGUAAAAGUCGUAACAAGGUUUCCGUAGGUGAACCUGCGGAAGGAUCAUUAUUGAAAUAAACCUGAUGGGUUGUUGCUGGUUCUCUAGGGAGCAUGUGCACGCCUUGUCAUCUUUAUAUCUCCACCUGUGCACCUUUUGUAGAUCUUACAGGUCUAUGUUGCCCUUUCAUUUACACCAAUGUAUGUUAAUAGAAUGUUGUGACUAUAAAUAUAUACAACUUUCAGCAACGGAUCUCUUGGCUCUCGCAUCGAUGAAGAACGCAGCGAAAUGCGAUAAGUAAUGUGAAUUGCAGAAUUCAGUGAAUCAUCGAAUCUUUGAACGCACCUUGCGCUCCUUGGUAUUCCGAGGAGCAUGCCUGUUUGAGUGUCAUUAAUAUAUAUAUCAACCCUCUUUUGUUGAGUGGUUUGGAUGUGAGGGUUUGCUGGAUUAUUUAAAAAGUUCAGCUCCCUUGAAAUGCAUUAGCAGAACAAAACCCUCUUCAUUGGUGUGAUAACUAUCUACACUGUUGAAUGCAAGGGCCAGUUUAGCUUUCUAACGGUCCUUCUUGGACAAUUUAUCAUUUAUGUGACCUCAAAUCAGGUAGGACUACCCGCUGAACUUAAGCAUAUCAAUAAGCGGAGGAAAAGAAACUAACAAGGAUUCCCCUAGUAACUGCGAGUGAAGCGGGAAAAGCUCAAAUUUAAAAUCUGGCAGUCUUUUGGCUGUCCGAGUUGUAAUCUAGAGAAGUGUUAUCCGCGCUGGACCGUGUACAAGUCUCCUGGAAUGGAGCAUCAUAGAGGGUGAGAAUCCCGUCUUUGACAUGGACUGCCAGGGCUUUGUGAUGCGCUCUCAAAGAGUCGAGUUGUUUGGGAAUGCAGCUCAAAAUGGGUGGUAAAUUCCAUCUAAAGCUAAAUAUUGGCGAGAGACCGAUAGCGAACAAGUACCGUGAGGGAAAGAUGAAAAGAACUUUGGAAAGAGAGUUAAACAGUACGUGAAAUUGCUGAAAGGGAAACGCUUGAAGUCAGUCACGUCGUCCAGGGAUCAACCUUGCUUUUGCUUGGUGCACUUUCUGGUUUGACGGGUCAGCAUCAAUUUUGACUAUUGGAAAAAGGUUAAGGGAAUGUGGCAUCUUUGGAUGUGUUUAUAGCCCUUGGUCACAUACAAUGGUUGGGAUUGAGGAACUCAGCACGCCGCAAGGCCGGGUUUUAAACCACGUACGUGCUUAGGG